UAAAACCCAAAUUAUUACAUUUUCCAAUGCCAAAAUCACAAAGCAGCAUUUUUUUUGUAUUGAGAAAUAAUCAUCAAAAUUCCACAACAAAAGCGUGUUAAUAGGAAUUUCCUCAUUAAUUGUAGGUUCGGAACCCGUUAUAUACUCCCAAAAUAAAAAAAUUUGAUAAGAAAGAAAUUAUUACACUCCACUAUCGAAAAGCAAAGAUCAAGCAAAUAUGCUACGGCUAAAUUACAGGAAUUCACGCACCAAAACCAAAAAGGGAGAAAGUGAGAAAUCAAAUUGAGGUUUGGAAAUUAAGUUAUUACACAUUUGUUUGCCGCUGCCGCCCUGCCGCCGUGCCGACCGUCCGACCAGCGAACGACUACUGUUGCUGCUGCAUAAAGAAGUAAUAAUUUUGUGGUCGAAAUUAGAUUAAUGGAUCAAUCAGCGUGGCUAGAAGCAGUUAGUAGUGGACCCAGUGGAGCAAUAGCUGCAUAAAGAAUCAAACAAACCUCAACCAUAGAGCUGGACUGUGGGCAGAGGUGAGGUUGAAUGGGUCGGUCAAGCGUCAUCUGGGCAACUAUUAAUACAUAUGUAUUGUACAUUGUAAGUAUGUAUGUAAAUGUGUUUAAUGCGUAAUUUACGUGCGACUACUCGGCCAUGGCUAUGGCUUAAUUAACGUGCGGCACAAUGCUGCUGCUUCUGUUGCCACUACUAUUUCUGCUGCUGUUGCUUAGGCUGAUGAUGAUGCUGUUGCUGUAGCCACACAUUUGCGGUCGACGUUAAGAGAUUCAACAGUUGAUGAACAGUUAUUGUUGCUAUUUUGCUCUUAUUUGCUGUUGAUUAUUCUUUUAUGCGCCUCAAGAAAUAACUUUUUUCCUUCUUUCUCCUCGACAUCCACUCAUUCCACGCAUGCACGUGCGUAUGUGCGUAUGUGUGUUAGUGUGUCACAGCCGUUGUGUUGUUCGCUUUGUAAGUAUGUCGGAGAAUUUGCUGGUUAAUGAAUAAUUGAAGCUGCUGGACGCAUGUGUUAAUGGUGUUUUGAAAGUUUUUCUCUUUGCCUUCGGAAUGCCAAUAUUCACUUUGGCCCUGCUAAAUCAUCUCCAAACAGAGGGACAAAACUCAGGCAUAUCCUUGCUUUGUAGGCACAUCCUUGCCUCUUACGUGCAGCUACCAAAUGCUAAAUAAGGCGCAUACACACUCGAACGAAGGCCCUUCACUUAACUUUCUACGCUCCUACCGGUUAGCGCGCUAAUAUAAGCGCCCAAGGCAGCCUGCAACUCCUUACUUUCUUUGUUGCCCCGGCCGCUGCAGCUACCUCUGCCUUCAAAAGCUAAGUCAGGCAUACACCUUCAUGCUACUGCCCACGUGACUUAUCGGCGAUUGCUUGGCUUACACGAACUUUUCCUUUAGCAAACGCCGAAUCAAGUUGAAGAGUAACGAAUUUUUAGCGCAAAAAGAAAAAAAGUUUUAUUUUUCAUAAGAAAAAAGUUCUUCAGCACGUUUUGGUGGAGAUAAUAAGAGUUCUUCUCUGUGUCUUUAAAAAAAGCGAAGAAUUUUUGGAGCUUCUUAAAGUGAAAAUGUGAAAUUUUUCGAGAAAAAAAUUCAUCUGAUCGGGCACUAACAUA